AUUGAACGCUGGCGGCAUGCCUUACACAUGCAAGUCGAACGGCAGCACGGGUGCUUGCACCUGGUGGCGAGUGGCGAACGGGUGAGUAAUACAUCGGAACAUGUCCUGUAGUGGGGGAUAGCCCGUCGAAAGCCGGAUUAAUACCGCAUACGAUCCACGGAUGAAAGCGGGGGACCUUCGGGCCUCGCGCUAUAGGGUUGGCCGAUGGCUGAUUAGCUAGUUGGUGGGGUAAAGGCCUACCAAGGCGACGAUCAGUAGCUGGUCUGAGAGGACGACCAGCCACACUGGGACUGAGACACGGCCCAGACUCCUACGGGAGGCAGCAGUGGGGAAUUUUGGACAAUGGGCGAAAGCCUGAUCCAGCAAUGCCGCGUGUGUGAAGAAGGCCUUCGGGUUGUAAAGCACUUUUGUCCGGAAAGAAAUCCUUGGCUCUAAUACAGUCGGGGGAUGACGGUACCGGAAGAAUAAGCACCGGCUAACUACGUG
rnacentral:rRNA from 1 species